UCCUUUGGAGAAAACCAAAGGAAUGGGGUACAUUGUGGUGAUUCCCUUGCAGGCUUUACAACAGGGCGGGGAAAAUGAUCCAUGAAAAGACAAUAAUGAAACUUGGCUCAGCCCAAUUUUAUUGCGACCAGUGCUGGAACAGGACUCCAAGAGUCUGGACCAGAUCAUUUAACUUUAGCCAUAUGUAAGCACAGCUCAAUUUUUGAAAAAAAGUAUUCAGAUAACAAUUAACUCAGUCCCAAGUCCACAACAAUUUAAGGUAUGUUUACAUUGAGAUUCCUUACAAAGUACAUUGGACUUCUCUCACAAGAAUGGGUACAGUUGACACAUAGAUGGGGCCCACAAUCUAGGCUGUAGGGAGCAUGACUGAGGUAAACAUAAUACCUAUGGGCAUCAGGAUUAGCCACCAGUAAGAUAACGUAGAAGCCACUUAGGCUGCUGUAACGCACAAGUGACUUCAGUCUUUAGAGUAGGUUUAUCGUCUAAAAGCUCAAGAUUUAGGGGACUAGGUCUUGGAUUAGUAAUAACAUUGAUUCUGUGAGAUAUGGCAGAGCCUGUCUCAAUAGACAGCAAAGGGUCACCAGGUUAUAAAAUGACAUCAUUCCUAGCAUUCCAGGAAGAGCAGCUGUGCUCCUCAUUCCAUUGAAGAUGUAAGCUGUGUGUUUAAGUUUCCUGGCUUCUCCAGUACUUACCUGUGUGCACAAGGCUUUUUGCUCUCUACAGUAGAUGAUGGUGAGGAAAGAGCUGGUGAGGCAUAUCACGGUGCCUGAGAGGUAGGAAAGGCUGGAUGAGGGUUUGUGUCCCUUCUCUGUUCUUAGUGAAUGGUGACUGCCCACUGGAUGGUCAGGUGCCGUCCCUCACCCUGCUUUAUUCUCAGUCUCAUGGCCUACUACCAUUUUCUUUCCACCUUGGCCUCACCAUUGCUGAGUUGACCUUGGCCUUGAAGCUUGGCCUGAAUUUUAUUCCCUGAGAGAUUCUGAAUUGCAGGGGUGCUUGUGGUUUUAUCUCAGCUGAGCAGAAGUUCCAUAGCCAUGCUGAGGUUUGAAAAUAGGGCUGUCUCAGUGCAUCCCACUUAGGCUCAUUAUAGUCUAAAGCACUCACCCUCUGCUGUGUCUGCAGCAUUCAGUAACUGAUUUUAUUCCAAAGUUGUUAAGUCUGAGUUAAAAUGGGCCUUAUGGAGGGUUAGGAGAAAUAAAGAGUCUCAGACAUUGCUGGUGUUGUAAAAUGGUGUAGCCCCAUGAGAAGCUAUGUACAAUUUUUCAGAAAGUUGAACUGCAGUCCCCAAGUAACCCAGUGAUUCAGGAAUGGGAAAUCAAUUGUUCACAGAGAAACUAGCUGACACCAGGGUUGUAGCAGUCAUCUUCAGAGCAGCCCUGAAGUCAGAACUCUUCAGAUACCCAUCAUCUGUGAGUGUAAACGUACAAUGUGAGUCCGGGCUUUCCAUGGAAUCUUGUUCAGUAAGAAAUAAUACAUGCGAUCAUUUGUGACUUAGUCAACCUUCUCUUAUUCAAACAAAUCCCUGACACAAUCACCUUACAGGGAGGAAAGGAUUAUAUUGGCACCUGGUUGAGGAUUUUCUAGUUUCCUGGGCUCAUUGCUUUGUGUCUGAAGUGAGGCAGCCUGUGGAUUAGAGAGCUCCUUUUGGAGGAAGCUGUUUACCUUGGAGACACUGGGAAGCACUGGGUGAAGCUAUUGGCUGCUUCACCACCAUCCUGUCGUCCAGUGCUGGGGAUCCAAGCCUUUAGUGCAUGGACUGGGGAACUUGAUGAACAGGCACGGCUUAUAGGCCAAACACCCCACAAGUCCAUUUUUUUGUGCACUGGGUUUACAAGGUUUGUGCACUUCAUUGACUGGUCUGUCCAUCUGUCCUGCCCACUGUGUUCUUCCAUCUAAGGAAUGUUCAGUUUCUUCUUAAAUGUCCUGGGUGAUCUUUUCUUAUAUUAGCAUUAUCUGGGAAACUAAACAUGUGAAUGCAAUGUAGUAUGCUUGUAUGUGUACACACUUGUACGUGUGUGUUCAAGAGUGUGUGUGUUUAGGAGUGUGUGUGUGUGUGUGUGUGCAUAUGAGUGUUCAACCCUGCACUAAGAACAUAAUCUUCUACUAAACAGAAGCAGGAAAGAUUGGAGGAGAGACUGCAAUACCUGCUGAAGCAGAGAGAUCUGGUCACCAAGCACAAGGUCUUGGCAGAAAAGCUGCAGCAUUACUUCACUGUCUCCCAGAUGAGCACCACUUAAGAGAACUCCACUCUAGCAUCAACACCUCCUCAACAAAAGACAUCUUGUAGCUGUGAACUAACCAGUGAGGAAAAUCCCAACCUAUCAGCAGGGAUCCAUGUGUCUGUUGGUGCAUUAUUCCAGGAGAAGAUAAAUCAUCAGAAAGAAGCUUGAGCGACAGAGGACCUGCCAAGAUUACUCAGAACCCAGCCAUCUAUUAACAAGUGGUCCUCAAACAGCAGCAUGGGGAGGGUAUGUUGGUGAGCCAGAGUUACUCUGUCAGUGUACUCUCCAUGUCUUUAGUAAGCUGUCUGAGUCCUCCACAUGUGGUGAGAAACCUGACAAGAAAGCCUGCAUGGCUGUCAUGCUGUUAUCUAUACAUACCACAUGGAGAAGAAUAGGAUUCCCUCCCCAGGGCAAUGCUGAAACCAACUCCAUGUCACGCGAAAGUGUUGCUGAAGAUGACGCACUGCAGAGACUACAGCACUCCCUCACACCUAUGUGAGUCAGUCAUCGGGUCUUCCAUAAAGAAAAGGACUAGGGAUUCUCCAGCUUCGCAGCCUGGACUGGCAUGACUGGUCCUGAGAAAGAACUUAUAGAGGAGGUCUGAGUCAUCUUUGUGCUUUGGAAAGCCAAAUGUGCUCCAUUGAUUUGUUGGGUCUAGAGUAGAAGAAGAUUUGUAGCUUAAAUUUUUGCAGAGGUCUUUUCUUUGCUGGGGUUUUGUUUGCUUGGUGUUUACUUUAGUUAGAAAUUUUGUUAUUUUUUGUUAAUUAUUUUAUUGUUGUCAGUGUUUUAAUAGUUGGCUAAAUAUAUACACUGCAUUUACUGACUGCCUUUUAAAAGUCCCCACUGAAGACUUUUUAUGAAUAAAAAAGCAAUUUCCAACUCUUCA